rnacentral:rRNA from 1 species
UACGUAGGGGGCGAGCGUUGUCCGGAUUCAUUGGGCGUAAAGAGCUCGUAGGCGGCUGUUCAAGUCGAUUGUGAAAACUCGGAGCUCAACUCCGAGCCUGCGUUCGAUACUGGACGGCUAGAGUCUGGUAGGGGGACCUGGAAUUCCUGGUGUAGCGGUGGAAUGCGCAGAUAUCAGGAGGAACACCGGUGGUGUAGACGGCUUUCUGGACCGUAACUGACGCUGAGACACGAAAGCGUGGGUAGCAAACAGG